AAACUGAGGAUAAUACCGGAUAGGCAAUUUUUCCUGUAAUGGUUUUUUGUUUAAAUGUUUUUUCGCCUAAGGAUGGGUCUGCGGCCGAUUAGGUAGUUGGUUAGGUAAUGGCUUACCAAGCCGUUGAUCGGUACGGGUUGUGAGAGCAAGAGCCCGGAGAUGGAACCUGAGACAAGGUUCCAGGCCCUACGGGGUGCAGCAGGCACGAAACCUCCGCAAUGUGAGAAAUCGCGACGGGGGGAUCCCAAGUGCUAUUCUUAACGGGAUGGCUUUUCAUUAGUGUAAAGAGCUUUUGGAAUAAGAGCUGGGCAAGACCGGUGCCAGCCGCCGCGGUAACACCGGCAGCUCUAGUGGUAGCAGUUUUUAUUGGGCCUAAGCGUCCGUAGCCGGUUUAAUAAGUCUCUGGUGAAAUCCUGUAGCUUAACUGUGGGAAUUGCUGGAGAUACUAUUAGGCUUGAGAUCGGGAGAGGUUAGAGGUACUCCCAGGGUAGAGGUGAAAUUCUGUAAUCCUGCGAGGACCGCCUGUUGCGAAGGCGUCUAACUGGAACGAUUCUGAC
rnacentral:rRNA from 1 species